rnacentral:lncRNA from 1 species
AUGCCCUUUUAUUCUAGGAAACAACCAAAACAGCAAAAGGCCGCUGAAGACAAAACCUCUCUGCACACUCCUGCACACGCCGACAGCCUGCUGAAUCCUGGAUUUCUCCACCGUCAGCCACAGGAAGCUUCAUCCUUCAGUAAUUCUCCUCUUCAUCAGUGGGAAGAGGAAACUGGGAGCUCCCUUUGGAAGGAACACGUAUGGACAGAUUAUUUUUCAGAACGGAUGUGUGACUUUGAUGGGACUGGUAGACAGAAGCUGUUUCUUGAAAAGAUUUAGAGCUCUUACUGAAGGCUUUUCCGGUGUGACUAGUCCUUAAUCAACUGUACUGUCUGUGGCCUGACGCAAAUAUUGUAAGACAUAGCAGGAAAACCUUGCCUUCGGCCACAGGUCUUGUUGGUUGAAAGUUAAACUCAAUGCUUGGGGAAAGCUAACACGGUGUAAUUUGGGCUGCGCACUUCAGAUGAUAUUGAUCAAAAGUCAAGAGGACAGUGACAAACUAUUAUAUUAUGAUGCAAACAAUAUUGGUUUAUAUUCUAAAUGAGCGACAUCUACGAAUGUGUGCUUUGAUUUAGAGAUCUUCCAAGGAAUGCCAGAAAGUUCUCUUGACUCCCCUCAAGGUCUCUAGAAGCUAGGAUCUAUAUUUUCUAAAAGCUGUGGCAUAUGAUUUAUUGAAAGAAUCCAUUUGGAGCUCUAGGGUUAUCCUGGUUUGACUUGAUGUGUGACAGCUACAAAAACGAUCCAUUACUAGACAUCGCAUUUUCAAAAUGUGGAUAGAGGUGGUGAAUCAGAACAAGAAUUCAGUCCUACCUUGCAAGGCUAUGAGAAGAGCGCUGUGUACAAAGUAUCAUGGUCCACAGCAGGUGGACCUAUGCGGUGAAUGGCAUAUGAUCAAAGUCAACGUAAUUUACACACUUGGAUAUAUGCCUAAUUUGUAACUGAGAGAGUAAAUUACAUGCUCAUGCAAACUGAGUUUUGAAAUCUGCCUGUGGCAGACAAUUUUUAGGGCAAUGCUGCCUGCACUGGUUGCGAAUGUCCAAGCUGACAGCACCUCUUAAAGACCACCAGCCCUCUCUAUGACCACCUGUCGAGGGUUCGAGGUGUUGUGCGAAAGACGGACACCGAUCCCCAAGCGUCGCUUGAAACUUGAUAAUGAGGGUGAUGUGUGUCGCAUGGCGAAAAUGCAAACACGUUUAGUUAGAGGGCUCUAAAACCAAUCUUUUUUUUUCCGAUUUCUUGAUCAAAUAAUUCGUUUUCAUUAGUUAUUUUGACUACAAAU